CGAACGCUGGCGGCGUGCCUAAUACAUGCAAGUCGAACGAACUCUGGUAUUGAUUGGUGCUUGCAUCAUGAUUUACAUUUGAGUGAGUGGCGAACUGGUGAGUAACACGUGGGAAACCUGCCCAGAAGCGGGGGAUAACACCUGGAAACAGAUGCUAAUACCGCAUAACAACUUGGACCGCAUGGUCCGAGUUUGAAAGAUGGCUUCGGCUAUCACUUUUGGAUGGUCCCGCGGCGUAUUAGCUAGAUGGUGGGGUAACGGCUCACCAUGGCAAUGAUACGUAGCCGACCUGAGAGGGUAAUCGGCCACAUUGGGACUGAGACACGGCCCAAACUCCUACGGGAGGCAGCAGUAGGGAAUCUUCCACAAUGGACGAAAGUCUGAUGGAGCAACGCCGCGUGAGUGAAGAAGGGUUUCGGCUCGUAAAACUCUGUUGUUAAAGAAGAACAUAUCUGAGAGUAACUGUUCAGGUAUUGACGGUAUUUAACCAGAAAGCCACGGCUAACUACGUGCCAGCAGCCGCGGUAAUACGUAGGUGGCAAGCGUUGUCCGGAUUUAUUGGGCGUAAAGCGAGCGCAGGCGGUUUUUUAAGUCUGAUGUGAAAGCCUUCGGCUCAACCGAAGAAGUGCAUCGGAAACUGGGAAACUUGAGUGCAGAAGAGGACAGUGGAACUCCAUGUGUAGCGGUGAAAUGCGUAGAUAUAUGGAAGAACACCAGUGGCGAAGGCGGCUGUCUGGUCUGUAACUGACGCUGAGGCUCGAAAGUAUGGGUAGCAAACAGGAUUAGAUACCCUGGUAGUCCAUACCGUAAACGAUGAAUGCUAAGUGUUGGAGGGUUUCCGCCCUUCAGUGCUGCAGCUAACGCAUUAAGCAUUCCGCCUGGGGAGUACGGCCGCAAGGCUGAAACUCAAAGGAAUUGACGGGGGCCCGCACAAGCGGUGGAGCAUGUGGUUUAAUUCGAAGCUACGCGAAGAACCUUACCAGGUCUUGACAUACUAUGCAAAUCUAAGAGAUUAGACGUUCCCUUCGGGGACAUGGAUACAGGUGGUGCAUGGUUGUCGUCAGCUCGUGUCGUGAGAUGUUGGGUUAAGUCCCGCAACGAGCGCAACCCUUAUUAUCAGUUGCCAGCAUUAAGUUGGGCACUCUGGUGAGACUGCCGGUGACAAACCGGAGGAAGGUGGGGAUGACGUCAAAUCAUCAUGCCCCUUAUGACCUGGGCUACACACGUGCUACAAUGGAUGGUACAACGAGUUGCGAACUCGCGAGAGUAAGCUAAUCUCUUAAAGCCAUUCUCAGUUCGGAUUGUAGGCUGCAACUCGCCUACAUGAAGUCGGAAUCGCUAGUAAUCGCGGAUCAGCAUGCCGCGGUGAAUACGUUCCCGGGCCUUGUACACACCGCCCGUCACACCAUGAGAGUUUGUAACACCCAAAGUCGGUGGGGUAACCUUUUAGGAACCAGCCGCCUAAGG
rnacentral:rRNA from 2 species